AAGUAUCGAAAGAAGUAUCGAAAUGCUUAGCUUGUUGAUAGUAACGAUUAGACUGUCCAGUGAAAUCUGCGAAUCGAUGCUCUUUCAACAUUUCUGGCUGAGCAUCUGUCGUUUGCGCGAAACAACGAACCAUGACGGGCGAAUGGUUGUCGUUGCUCCAUCCUUAGGCACCUUGUAAUCGUACAUUUAGCAUUCUGACGUCAACGACGUUAUUUUUGGUCGACGAUGUUCAUUUAGCGCGGAGCCACAUCGUAAAAUCGUCCGUAAAGCUGGACGCGCGGGCUCUUAUCUCGUUUGGAAAUGGAUCGGAUGAAAAUGCAUUUCCUGAAACUUCGUUCAGGGUAAAGCGAGCUUCGACCAUUCGCAUCGAGCCUCGAAAAACGUUUCACUACCGAGCAAACAGUCUUCCUACUUUAAUCUCCCUCCCUCCCAUCCACAGUAAGUUAAAGACAUUUAUUUUGUGUAGAGUCAAUAGGUACAUUGAUGUCUAAGAUAUUAGGUCAAUCAGCUUGGGAAAUACCGUUUCGAGAAAAACAUUGUAACUAUGCCAAAGUGGACGGAGAGUCGAGCUCGAAGUUAUGUAAAACCGAUUUUUGAAAGCGUGGCAAAGGCAAAAAUUGUAUGCAAGAAAACGAAAUACGCUUUUUCUGGACCGUGUCAAAUCGAAACCUCGAAAAAGUCUGUACAAGAAGAUAAUUGAGCGCGUGCUAUGGAUGAUGCAACUUGUUACUGAUGGAUACAUUCGAUCGAUUGCGGUUAGUCAAGGAACUAAUCUACAGACUUUCGGGUCACAGAUUAUUAGAAAAGGAGACCUAAAAUUUUGUAUAAUAAUAUUCUUCUUAAAACAACAAACCUAAUAUCACUUUCCAUUAUCUAAAUGAUAAUUUAGAUUGCACUUCUGUAUCAAAUUUUGGCGCCCAAGGCAAAACGCUUUAAAUUUACCUGGCAGUAAAUGACUUAUUAAGAACCUCUGGUUCGCGUAAUCGUAGAUUCGAGACCUCGAACGAAUAAUGCCAAUUACCACGGUGAGUACCAGAGUCUAACGAAACGAUCCGCGGCUGUCGGAUUGGUAUUGAUUGAUAUUCGUAGCUGCAUAUUGAACUUGAUCUCGCAGCUAGUCACGAGUGGUCGUGGCUAACAGCGUUCGUCGUCGUCGUUGCAACUUGCAACGUCUUCUGUGCAUUCUGCUCAUUCAAGGCAACGAUCCAGCGGUGACGUAAUUUCCCUGAUAGGUUUCGUUGGAUUUAUAUGUGGCCACGUAUACGAGCCUGUCCAGAAACGUUAUAGUGUGGUCUGGAUCCGCAUUCAAGGGAAGAGCGAGUCGGUGUAAGCCGGUUUCAGAUGGAUCCGAGUCUACCAACCGAAAUAGACCAUGAGGCGAGCUCUCUCUUCGCAAAACUCUGCCAGGAAUUUGGCAUACAGAUCGAACAUCGUCGAUACACGAAAUUCGUCUCUCACCGUUACUCUACGAAGAGAGUAAAAUUGGUUGAUACUGCAAGAAUUAAUUCCGAGGAAAUUUUACUUUGUUACAGUUGACUGCUCAGUUCUCUUAACGGGUUUUUAGAGUACAAAAAGGUCCUCCUCCUCCUCCCUCCCCCCCCCCCCAUUGGUUACGCGGAAUUCAUGCAAACGGGACGUUAAAAGUAGUCGAACCACUCGGCAAGUAGCUUUGUAAACAUUCUAAUUUAUUCGUGGGCACGCUGGAACCGACUGGAACCAACAAUCGACACGAUGAAAUCAAAAAGAACGACUCGAACAUUUAGAUGACAAAAUAAAUCUACUUUAAUAGCUCAUUUAGAAUUCAAAUGUCUACACUCUGUUUCAGCUGGAAUUAAAUAAAUGAAUCGAGAAACAGCAGACAGAAGAGAGGAUCUCUGGAAAAGUUCAGUUAACGACGUGGUAAUUAUCUACACUGAUUCCAAGAGUUUCCAUUAGUCAUUUGGUUCGAGUAAAAUUCUGCCCGUUUCUGGAAUGUUCCAACGCCUCGAGUCUCAGAAUUUUUUCAACUUUCGCUGAUCGAGGAAGUCAAGGAAGAUAAUCGUCUCUCUUCAGGGUGAACGGGAGCAGUUGACGGGAAUCGUUGACGAGCUCAAGGUCUACGAGAAACUACGUGGCCGCAUUGGAGGUAUAAAAGUUGCCCCAUAAAAUGCGUUUUCAAGAUGGUACCACUCGUGAGUGGUAAUUUAUGAAGAAAAUCCAGAGGAAACCUUGACCAACAGUACUGUAGUGUAUACAGUAGUAUUGAGAAUAAACGUAUUAGUAGAAGAAGUAGGAACGAUGUCGAAGAGUACUCUAUGGAUACCACACGUGGUCACUCGCGAAUCGCUGUACCUCAGUUGAUCCACCGGAGCUAAACUCAGAAACUGCGCAGUUCGCUGGUAAAGUUAGGAUAAAUUCAAGCAGAAUAUAUGGGUAGGGUUACCUUGCCACGGCGGAACGUGUGAUAUAUUAACGCAGCAUUUCGCCUAUGUCAAGGACGACCCACCCAACGCACGAGUAUCUCCCUGGAGAUCAUUACCAUAGGAUAUUUACGCUACUAAUUAUGAAAACGGUCCGAGCAAAGGAUGGGUUUUGGAGAAAUUAAAUUUAUCGCCCCUGUUUAACGUCGAUCCACAUUGCGAUGUCACACGAUACGUAUUAGGGGACACGCUUAACCAGCGAUAUUGCUAUGCGAGUGAGUGCUCCUUAAACGUCGAAGGAAACAUAAGUAUGUAUCGAGAAUGAUUCAAGAACGUCCGUCAGCGUGGAAUAAUUUGACCAAGGUUGCCUCAGGUCCA